GCGCCAGUAGCUCAGUUGGAGAGAGCACGAGCCUCCUAAGCCCGGGGCCGCAGGUUCAAAUCCUGUCUGGCGUGCCA
rnacentral:tRNA from 1 species